GGGUUGUGAGGUUAAGCGACUAAGCGUACACGGUGGAUGCCCUGGCAGUCAGAGGCGAUGAAGGGCGUGCUAAUCUGCGAUAAGCGCCGGUAAGGUGAUAUGAACCGUUAUAACCGGCGAUACCCGAAUGGGGAAACCCAGUGUGAYUCGUCACACUAUCAUUAACUGAAUCCAUAGGUUAAUGAGGCGAACCGGGGGAACUGAAACAUCUAAGUACCCCGAGGAAAAGAAAUCAACCGAGAUUCCCCCAGUAGCGGCGAGCGAACGGGGAGGAGCCCAGAGCCUGAAUCAGCAUGUGUGUUAGUGGAAGCGUCUGGAAAGGCGCGCGAUACAGGGUGACAGCCCCGUACACAAAAGCGCAUGUGCUGUGAGCUCGAUGAGUAGGGCGGGACACGUGGUAUCCUGUCUGAAUAUGGGGGGACCAUCCUCCAAGGCUAAAUACUCCUGACUGACCGAUAGUGAACCAGUACCGUGAGGGAAAGGCGAAAAGAGGGCGUUAAGUUGCAGGGUAUAGACCCGAAACCCGGUGAUCUAGCCAUGGGCAGGUUGAAGGUUGGGUAACACUAACUGGAGGACCGAACCGACUAAUGUUGAAAAAUUAGCGGAUGACCUGUGGCUGGGGGUGAAAGGCCAAUCAAACCGGGAGAUAGCUGGUUCUCCCCGAAAGCUAUUUAGGUAGCGCCUCGUGAAUUCAUCUCCGGGGGUAGAGCACUGUUUCGGCUAGGGGGCCAUCCCGGCUUACCAACCCGAUGCAAACUGCGAAUACCGGAGAAUGUUAUCACGGGAGACACACGGCGGGUGCUAACGUCCGUCGUGAAGAGGGAAACAACCCAGACCGCCAGCUAAGGUCCCAAAGUCAUGGUUAAGUGGGAAACGAUGUGGGAAGGCCCAGACAGCCAGGAUGUUGGCUUAGAAGCAGCCAUCAUUUAAAGAAAGCGUAAUAGCUCACUGGUCGAGUCGGCCUGCGCGGAAGAUGUAACGGGGCUAAACCAUGCACCGAAGCUGCGGCAGCGACACUGUGUGUUGUUGGGUAGGGGAGCGUUCUGUAAGCCUGYGAAGGUGKSYYGUGAGGSWUGCUGGAGGUAUCAGAAGUGCGAAUGCUGACAUAAGUAACGAUAAAGCGGGUGAAAAGCCCGCUCGCCGGAAGACCAAGGGUUCCUGUCCAACGUUAAUCGGGGCAGGGUGAGUCGACCCCUAAGGCGAGGCCGAAAGGCGUAGUCGAUGGGAAACGGGUUAAUAUUCCCGUACUUGGUGUUACUGCGAAGGGGGGACGGAGAAGGCUAUGUUGGCCGGGCGACGGUUGUCCCGGUUUAAGCGUGUAGGUGUGUGUUCCAGGUAAAUCCGGUUCACUUUAACACUGAGGCGUGACGACGAGGCACUACGGUGCUGAAGCAACAAAUGCCCUGCUUCCAGGAAAAGCCUCUAAGCAUCAGGUAACAUCAAAUCGUACCCCAAACCGACACAGGUGGUCAGGUAGAGAAUACCAAGGCGCUUGAGAGAACUCGGGUGAAGGAACUAGGCAAAAUGGUGCCGUAACUUCGGGAGAAGGCACGCUGACACGUAGGUGAAGUGAUUUACUCAUGGAGCUGAAGUCAGUCGAAGAUACCAGCUGGCUGCAACUGUUUAUUAAAAACACAGCACUGUGCAAACACGAAAGUGGACGUAUACGGUGUGACGCCUGCCCGGUGCCGGAAGGUUAAUUGAUGGGGUCAGCGCAAGCGAAGCUCCUGAUCGAAGCCCCGGUAAACGGCGGCCGUAACUAUAACGGUCCUAAGGUAGCGAAAUUCCUUGUCGGGUAAGUUCCGACCUGCACGAAUGGCGUAAUGAUGGCCAGGCUGUCUCCACCCGAGACUCAGUGAAAUUGAACUCGCUGUGAAGAUGCAGUGUACCCGCGGCAAGACGGAAAGACCCCGUGAACCUUUACUAUAGCUUGACACUGAACAUUGAGCCUUGAUGUGUAGGAUAGGUGGGAGGCUUUGAAGUGUGGACGCCAGUCUGCAUGGAGCCGACCUUGAAAUACCACCCUUUAAUGUUUGAUGUUCUAACGUGGACCCGUUACCCGGGUUGCGGACAGUGUCUGGUGGGUAGUUUGACUGGGGCGGUCUCCUCCUAAAGAGUAACGGAGGAGCACGAAGGUUGGCUAAUCCUGGUCGGACAUCAGGAGGUUAGUGCAAUGGCAUAAGCCAGCUUGACUGCGAGCGUGACGGCGCGAGCAGGUGCGAAAGCAGGUCAUAGUGAUCCGGUGGUUCUGAAUGGAAGGGCCAUCGCUCAACGGAUAAAAGGUACUCCGGGGAUAACAGGCUGAUACCGCCCAAGAGUUCAUAUCGACGGCGGUGUUUGGCACCUCGAUGUCGGCUCAUCACAUCCUGGGGCUGAAGUAGGUCCCAAGGGUAUGGCUGUUCGCCAUUUAAAGUGGUACGCGAGCUGGGUUUAGAACGUCGUGAGACAGUUCGGUCCCUAUCUGCCGUGGGCGCUGGAGAACUGAGGGGGGCUGCUCCUAGUACGAGAGGACCGGAGUGGACGCAUCACUGGUGUUCGGGUUGUCAUGCCAAUGGCACUGCCCGGUAGCUAAAUGCGGAAGAGAUAAGUGCUGAAAGCAUCUAAGCACGAAACUUGCCCCGAGAUGAGUUCUCCCUGAGACUUWRRGUCUCCUGAAGGAACGUUGAAGACGACGACGUUGAUAGGCCGGGUGUGUAAGCGCAGCGAUGCGUUGAGCUAACCGGUACUAAUGAACCGUGAGGCUUAACCUUACAACGCCGAAG
rnacentral:rRNA from 1 species